rnacentral:rRNA from 1 species
AAAGGUAAGCUACUAAGAGCGAAUGGUGGAUGCCUUGACUGGUAAAGGCGAUGAAGGACGUACUAGACUGCGAUAAGCUACGGGGAGCUGUCAAGAAGCUUUGAUCCGUAGAUUUCCGAAUGGGGCAACCCAAUGUAUAGAGAUAUACAUUACCUAUAUAGGAGCGAACGAGGGGAAUUGAAACAUCUUAGUACCCUCAGGAAAAGAAAUCAAUAGAGAUUGCGUCAGUAGCGGCGAGCGAAAGCGCAAGAGGGCAAACCCAGUGCUUGCACUGGGGGUUGUAGGACUGCAAUGUGCAAGAGCUGAGUUUAGCAGAACAUUCUGGAAAGUAUAGCCAUAGAGGGUGAUAGUCCCGUAUGCGAAAAACAAAGCUUAGCUAGCAGUAUCCUGAGUAGGGCGGGACACGAGGAAUCCUGUCUGAAUCCGGGUCGACCACGAUCCAACCCUAAAUACUAAUACCAGAUCGAUAGUGCACAAGUACCGUGAGGGAAAGGUGAAAAGAACUGAGGUGAUCAGAGUGAAAUAGAACCUGAAACCAUUUGCUUACAAUCAUUCAGAGCACUAUGUAGCAAUACAGUGUGAUGGACUGCCUUU